UGGGGAAUAUUGGACAAUGGGCGCAAGCCUGAUCCAGCCAUGCCGCGUGAGUGAUGAAGGCCUUAGGGUUGUAAAGCUCUUUCACCGGAGAAGAUAAUGACGGUAUCCGGAGAAGAAGCCCCGGCUAACUUCGUGCCAGCAGCCGCGGUAAUACGAAGGGGGCUAGCGUUGUUCGGAAUUACUGGGCGUAAAGCGCACGUAGGCGGAUCGAUCAGUCAGGGGUGAAAUCCCAGAGCUCAACUCUGGAACUGCCUUUGAUACUGUCGAUCUAGAGUAUGGAAGAGGUGAGUGGAAUUCCGAGUGUAGAGGUGAAAUUCGUAGAUAUUCGGAGGAACACCAGUGGCGAAGGCGGCUCACUGGUCCAUUACUGACGCUGAGGUGCGAUAGCGUGGGGAGCAAACAGG
rnacentral:rRNA from 1 species